AUGAUCUUUGUGAGUUUGACCCUGCUGGGCUCCUCCAAAAUGAGGUUCCUGUUUCCUGUGGUGCAUUAAAGCUGAGGUCUGCCUUUCGUCUGGUAGUGAGAAACUGCUUAUAGAGGGCAGCAAAGCAGACUUUGUUCUGCUCCUUGUCAGACACAAUCGAUGUCUGGAAAAGUCUUACUUCUAUGCACUACAGAGCCUGAGGUUCCACAAGAGAUGGGAAGUCCUGCCACUCCUUCCAAGUCCAGAACUGAGGUGCAGCCCACCGUGAAUCCAGUGGUAAUUUGUGAGAUUUCUAUUGCCUGGUGGCAGAGAGCAGCAGCCCCUGGAACCAAGGUGCAGCAGAGGAAUUUAAACUUGAGCAUUCUCCUCCUGUCCUGAGAAGCUGAAGCCAGCUGAGCUUUGAAGGUUUCAGAAUUUCCCAGUGUUUUCUGUUCUGACUUCACCUCCACAAGGAUACAGGGAGGCUUCACAGAUGGAAUUUGGCCUUGCACUGAUUAAAUAACCAUUUGUCUUCUUCGACAGUAGAAGAUGGGAAUGCCCUGUCUGAACAACGGUGCUUCCUCUCAUUCCCAGCUUCUCCUGGUGUCUGGUGCUGCAAGAAGGCUGAAAUCCUCCUGACUUCCUUCUGAACAUCAUUAGUAAAAGGGAGCUUUAGAGACUGGGUAUUGCCUGUGACUGACCCUCUAGAAGAGCAUAUUUAACAAAGAUUUGUUUGAGCUCUCUGUUGGAGAUUGGUUGUUUGUCAAGUCCUUUCUGUGUCCUCCUAAGCCCCUGGAAGAUGCAGCUGCCACUAAUAGAGACAUGCAGAGUCUAUCUCAUGGCAAAAUUCAGGCAUUCAUGAGAUCAAAGGGUCACCAGGAUUAAAGGCUGCCAUAUCUAACACUGCACAUGCUGCUUUCUCCAUCUCUGUGCACUUAUCAGCUGUGGCUUUCAUACACACAAAGCCAUGUGGCUGAAGUGCAGAUAACUCAUCUUGUCUGGAGAGUUCAAGAUGUCCCACAGCCCGUCUUGGUGUCACAGCUCUGCUCUGGUGCUCCUGCCCUUGCCCCAGGAGCUCACAGCACAUGCUGCUGCCUUUGAGCCAGAAAAGAAGAUAGAGAGGUGAAAACACACCCUUUUUUGGGCUAUUUUUCAUGUUAUGCUACAAAACUCUCCAAGCUACACAGGAUGAACGAGACAAGAUUCAUGUUUUCCCAGAUUUAUAUAUGCCAAACCGUGUUCCAUGUGACUGACAUUCAUUCAUGUGCCAUGAGCUUGUCUUUUAUGGAAACAAGUUUCAUCUUUCCCUUGGUCCUGCAGCCUGAUUCUGUGCUUUGCUCUUGGAGGAGCACCCAAUGUUUUCUGACACUGAGUCCCACCUGCCUUCUGUUUUCCCAGUCCCACCCCUUAUUAUGCAGAUAUUCAGCACCACUUCUGGUUGAGACCAUUGUCAGUCCUCUCUGCAGCAGCCUGGAGAGGUGGGAUUUCCAUGGCUGUGUAAAAAAUCCCAGAGGUUAAUGACAGCCUAGUGAGAGCACAGCCCUUUCCUUAGAGCACUCCAUUUCCUUCACUUCUUCUCCAACCUAGCUGCUGUAUGCAGUAAAUUUGCACAGGUAAAACAAAGUUGUCUUCUUCUGGGCUGCUUGUCUCUAUCAGUUUCCUCUGAGGUAAUAAACAAUUUUGAUUUCAGGUGUUUCAGCUACACCUCAUUCUCCAUGUGACCCCUGAAAUUCACAUUAUGCCCUCAGCCUUUCUUUAGAAGAGCUGAAUAAACACAGAGGAGUUCUUGAGUGUGUGCUUUGUAUGGAGCUGAGAUCGAAAAUUCCUUGUGGGUUUGUAUUUUUGCUAAAGACUCUUUUUUU